GGGGUGUGGCUCAGUGGUGGAGCACGUGCUUAGCAUGCACUAGGUCCUGGGUUCAAACUCCAGACCCUCCC
rnacentral:tRNA from 1 species